UGUCUCACAUUGUAGGACCUAGUGGUUAGAGCGUCCACCUCGGAUGCAGGAGGUCGUUGGUUCGAUCUCCGGCCAAGUCAU